rnacentral:tRNA from 1 species
GGUCGCGUGGCUCAGCCGGUCAGAGCGCUGCGCUCACAUCGCAGAGGUCACUGGUUCGAAUCCAGUCGCGACCACCA